rnacentral:rRNA from 1 species
CACGAACGCUGGCGGCAGGCUUAACACAUGCAAGUCGAGCGCCCCGCAAGGGGAGCGGCAGACGGGUGAGUAACGCGUGGGAAUCUACCCAUCUCUACGGAAUAACGCAUGGAAACGUGUGCUAAUACCGUAUACGUCCUUCGGGAGAAAGAUUUAUCGGAGAUGGAUGAGCCCGCGUUGGAUUAGCUAGUUGGUGGGGUAAAGGCCUACCAAGGCGACGAUCCAUAGCUGGUCUGAGAGGAUGAUCAGCCACACUGGGACUGAGACACGGCCCAGACUCCUACGGGAGGCAGCAGUGGGGAAUACUGGACAAUGGGCGCAAGCUUGAUCCAGCCAUGCCGCGUGAGUGAUGAAGGCCCUAGGGUUGUAAAGCUCUUUCACCGGUGAAGAUAAUGACGGUAACCGGAGAAGAAGCCCCGGCUAACUUCGUGCCAGCCGCCGCGGUAAAAC